UGGGAGUGCAGAUGUCUCUUUGAGAUCCUGUUUUCCUCUCCUUUGUAUAUACACCCAGAAGGGGGGUUGCUGUUUGGGAACUAUUUAAUUCUAUAGUCUCCGAGCCUUCAGGAACACCAUGGUGGAGAUCCUGCACGUCAUUCUUUUAAUGAAGAGCUGAUUUGUUUUGCCAUGGGCCCUCCCCACCCUCCAUAGCAUUACGAGUUAUGCCACCUUUGUUCUGGCACUGAAGGACUUUUCUGGUAAACUGGAGCCUCGUGAAUCUGAGAAAAGAUUCUACUUUUGACAGCGUCAAAGGCUAAAGCUCUCUGCUAAAUAUUUUAUUUCAUCUCAUACUAAUUCAUACAUUUCUAAUUUUUGGAUCUCCAGUUCACAUCUGUUUACCACAGCUUUCUCCUAAAUCCUCCACUUGUGGGUGGGGAGGUUUUGCUCAUUCUUUUGCUUUUCCCGUUUGCUCCUGGCACAUCUUCGUGUUUACAUUCAUUUCACAUUUCUUUCUUCCUGAAAUUUGCUUGCGUUGCUUUUCACCAGGUUUGAACGUCUUUCCUGGUGGCUGCCUCACUUUGUGUGGAGUCUCUAUUUUGUUUUGGAUUUUGGCAUCAGUUUCACCUUUUUCUACUUGCUACAGAAGUAAUUAUGGAAAAGAGCAGAAACGUCAGGUAAAAGGUUUACAUGAUACUUAAAAGAUCAAUUAUCUUUAUCUGUCUUAUACCAGCUACACUUACUCAACAACCAUUUUGAUUUUGAGCCCUGAUUGCCUGUCCUAGUAAAAUAUGUUUUGGUUACGCGUAGCACUCUUCUGCUAUUCUGUUAUAGAUUAAAACAUGACCUGGCAACUAUACACUAUUUUGAUGGGUAUGCUCAAUCCCCCCCCAACUUUGUAAAUUUCAAAGUUAUAUGAAACGAAAGCCAACAAGAAUAUUAACCUUAACUUUAACCAUGUGUCUUAGAAUUAGAAAUUAAAAAGGAAGCAUUCCACGAUGACUAGCUCAGUAAUAAAUGUUACGAAAUUUAAUCUGAAAGACACAUCAUAAUCUUCAUAAAUUCCUCCUGUUCAGGGCCACCGCCACUGCCCCAUCCCAGGGUUUUAAUUUUCUCCUUCCUCUCCUUCACUUCUUGUGUCCAGUCAUUCACAAGUAUCUUUCCUUUCUCUGCAGAGUCUCUUGGAUUUGUCCCUGGCUCUCAGUUUCAGCUGCCACUUCUCAGAGCCAAGCCCCUAUCAAGUCCCAUAGAAAUUACUACAGCAGCCUCUUCACUGAUCUUCUCACUUUCGAUUUGUCCCACAGAUGGCUGCCAGAGUCAUCAUUGCUUUCAUCAUCUCUCUCUCCCGAUUAAGACCCUACACUCUGGCUUAUUUCUGAUUACUACAAGUCUGGACUCCUUAGCCUGCAAACAAUGAGCCUGGCUCAGUAAAUCAUAUUUUUCCGUCUUCUCCAUGGAGCAUCCCACUCCGCACGCCCUACUCCAGCAAGAAUGCUGAGAAACAUGAAGGCAGCUGCUGGGCAAGUUAGGAUCGUUCUGGCAGAGUUCCACAUUCAUCGGCUCUGACCGGGCAAGGAACUGCUACCUUUUGGUCUUCCCUCUGCGCUGAGGUUGAUUCGUCAGUUCCUGUGAACCUCAAGCUCGUUCAUGCGGCAGACAGCUGGAAGUCAGGGUGCUCUCUGUAGAACACACGCUGCCGUGCAGAGACUGAGGAGAUGCUCGCCAGUCCCGAAUCCUCUUUGUGGGCAGCCCUCGCCUUCCCUGCCGUUAAGUUGGAGCUGUAUGAUUAGUUCUGGUCAAUGGAAGGUGGGUAAAGUGAUAGCCUUCACUUCUGACCUGGCCUCCAACGUCUCCGAGGAGAUCCUUGGCCUGCUCUUUCUCUUUGCAUGCUGACUGGUCGGAUGAAGAGAAUGCAGCGGAGGAUUUGAAGGUGGAGGAUGGCAGAGCCAUAAGAUGGAGAGAUCUUGGGUCCUGGAAUCAUUGUGUGGAAUGCUGCCCAUAUAAUAUCAUCACUAAACAGUGAAAUGAAUGCAAAAUAUACUUUCACUGGUAUUGUUUGCUAGCAUUAUUAGUCUGACUAAUACAAAUAAUGAUAUCUUUAAUUCAUCUCAAGAUUUACAACAGUUUUACUAAAAAAAAAUUACUUGUCUAAGAAAAAAUUUUAAAGGCUAUUAAAUUUAAUUCAAUUUAACAAAUAGUUGAUGAAUAACUACCCAUGUGCAAAUAAUAAUAAUAAUAAUGACGCCAUUAUUUAUAUAGUAUACUGGGAAUAUGAUGGAGAACAAGACAGACUAUUUUACUGGGAAGAGCAGUUGAAAAAAAAAAGGGGCCAAGUGAAUAACGAGUGAAUACAAGCGAAUAAAUAGUAUGUUUAUAAGUGUUGUGAAGAAACUAAAGCACACUAACAUGAAGGAGAGUCACUGGGUGGAGUCUAGCUUAGAUUGUGCCCAGGGAGGGUCUCUGAGAAGUUGACAUUUAAGUUGAGACCUGGAUAAAGAGAAGGUGCCAGUUGUGUAGCUAUCUGGGGAAGAGUUGUCUGUACGGAAGGCACAGCAUGUGCAAAAUCCCUGAGGCAGGAACAAACUUGGUGUAUUCAAGAAAUAGGAAGACGACUAGUCUGGCUUCAGUUUAGCAAGCAAGGAGAGGGCAACAGUGCUAGGUGAUACGUGGCCUGUAGACCGCGGUUAAAGGUUUGUACUUUAUUCAGAGCAACGGGGACCAUUCACAGGUUUUGAAAAAGGGGUCUGAUUUGUGUUUUUAAAAAAUCACUGGCUGUGCUUUGGAGAAUGGAUUUUAGAGAGAAAACAGAGAGGCCAGUCAGGAUGCUAAGCAGUGAUCCUGGCAAGAUAUGAUGGUGGCUUAAGCUAGGAUAGAACUGGAUGGAUUUGGGAUUGAGGUGACAUGAUGAUUUUUCAGAUGGAUUGAACAUGAGGAGUUGGAGGAAAGAAGAAUAAAGAUUUAUUAAUUAAUUCAACAAAUAUUCAUUUAACACCUACUACAUGCCAGGCGCUCUUCUAGGCUCUGGGGAUAGAGCAGUGAACAAAACACAUCCAGUCGCUGCUCUCCUAACCCUUACACUCUAGUGGAGAGAAACAGAUGGUAAUAAACCACACAUGUCAGGGAGUGAUAGUGAAGGUAAGGAAAGCAUUGUGAGGGGAUGAGGAGUGACAGGGUGGCUAGUUUUAGAUAAGAUAAUCAGGGGCAUCCUCUUUGAUGGGGUGAUAUUUGAGCAGAGAAGUGAGGAAGUAAGCCAUGCUGAUAGCUGAGGUGAGGGUGCUCCAGGAAGAGGAAGCCGUGAGUGCGGAGGCCCUGGGGUGGAGGCAUGCAGCCUGGUAGAGGAGCAGCAUGUAGACAGGGCGGCGGUGGCGUUGGUGGCGGGAGCAGAGUGAACAGAGAGGAAGAGGAAGGAGACGAGGUCAGGGAGAGGUAGGUGGGUGGGCAAGUCAUAAGCUAAGAUCAGUAUUUAGAUUUUUAUUUUGAGAUGGGAAGCCACUGGAGGGUUUCGAAUAGAGGAAUGGAAGCAGGGAAACCAGCUAGGAGGCAAUAGUCUUGGCAAGAUAUGGUGGUUUUGUUUUUAGCCACUGGUUGGAUAUUGAUGCCAUUAUUGAGAAGGGGAAGAUAGAGAAAGAAAUAUGGGAGGAGAAAUCAAAGUUCUAUUCAGGACAGAUUAAGUUUGAAAUGCCUAUUAGACAUAAUUAGAGUUAUCAAUUAGAUAGCUGGAUAUUUGAGCCCAGAACUCAGGGCAGGAGUCAGGACUAGAGAUAAAAAUUUGGAGUUGUCAGCCUUCAGUGCCUCAGGACCAGAUGGGAUCAGCCAGGGAAAGGCUGUGAAUAGGGAAGAGAGCUGAGGUGUGGCCCUGGGGCUCUCCUACUUUUAGAAGAGGCACAGAUGGGAAGGAGUGGCGAGAGAGGUGGGAUCAAAAUCAGAAGAGUUUCAUGUUGCAGAAGCCAAGAUAAGACAGUGCCUCAAAUUAGGGAGUUCAACUGUGUCAAAUUCUGCCAAGAGUCCAGAAGGAGGAAGACAGAAAAGUGACCACUGGAUUUGACAACGUGAAGACACGGGUAACUUUGACAAGACCGGUUUGAGCGGAGUGGUGCGGGUGGAAGCUGGAUAGGACUGAAGACAGGAGAUGCAGAAACAGACAAGGGACACGAACAGCUCAUGAGACAAAUUUUGCAGGAAGGAAACACAGAAAUGUGGCAGUAACAGGAAGGAAAUGCAAUUUCUAUGACUCAAACUCCCAUUUUCCUCAGUUUAUCUGAUCUCUCCAAGAUGUUAGGGGAAAGCAUCACAUUACAAUCUGUACAGGACUGAUGUCUUAACGUAUGGUUUCCUUUAUAUAUAUUUGCAUUUUAAAAGGAGGAACUUUGUCUUUCGUGUGGCAGAGUGUCUAAUACACAUUGGAUACCUAGAAUGAAUGAAUAUUCUGGCAAACACUAGCUCUGGAGUGUAUGUGUGUGUGUGUGUGUACGUGCAUUGUCUUCACAUCUAGUGGGCUGGAAAUCUUCUUGACAAUCUGUUAGGCAUCAGGGAAUUUUAUCUCGAGAGGGGUGCCCCAUUUUUCUUCUUGAUAACCUCUUACUAAUGAAGAGCCUGGGAUGGGAGUUCCAUUUACAAAUGGUGAGUCAUUAGAAACAGAUUUGCCUGCGGAGAGGAUCUUCCAGCAGCGGAGCCUCAGGGCUGAGGCAUGCCGUCUGUUUCCUGCACAAAUGGGCCCUGUGAGCAGAUCCGUGGAAGAAAGACGACUCCCUACACAGCCACACUCCCACACGCGUGCUCCCUACAGCCUCCGUCUAAAAGCCUGAGGGCAAAGGGACAGGCACUCCAUUUAAAGGUCACCUCCAGCCCCUGGCCUUACGGUUCCUCCUCAUCUUCGUCCGUUAACAGCUCUCUGGGAGAUGGCAAUGUUUCCUUGUACCACAGCCUGCGGUUGUUAAGCUGCGGCCCAGUCUUUGAGCUCUCUCGGCCCGUCUCUGGGCUUCCUACCUGCCUGUCCUUUGUGGGGACAACCUUCAUUGUCUGCUGCCCCGCUGUUCUGGAGUGGACCUGCUCCUGCUCUGAGGCCGGCUAUUUUUCUCUAAUUCAGAGUGGAGACAACUCCAGGGUCUCCAGGCCUUCAGAAACACUGCGGAAGGCGGGCGAGGCCAGUGGACUUUCAACGGGAAAGAGGACUCAGGACCAGCCCACAUUCCAGAAUUUAUUAUUAGUGUCUACCCUCCCAGGUCCUAGCCCCUCACCCCUACAACCUUUUGAUGGGUGAUCUCAUUCUGCCCAGCCUCCUCCUUCUAAACGCUCGUCACCUGAACGUUGUCACUGUCCAUCCCACCAUCGGAAGAGUGGUUCUGGAACUUCAGUCAUUACUAUCCCUUCUUUAUGGUUUUUUUUUUUUUUUUUUUGCCAUCUCUAUGUACCACUAAUGGUAUUAUUUACCUAAAAUUUUUCUUUACAUCAACUCACUAUUUUAGUUAAAUAGUUAUUUAAUAAGGACAUUGUUACUACAUAAAUAGAAAUUCAGGGUAAAUAAAAAAUAAAUACAAAUAAGACACCAAAUUUAUAUGAUCAAAUUCUAGUUGUAUGCUUAUUUACCAAAGGAUCUAAGUCUGCUUCUCUUUUUUUUUUUUUUAAAGGGGAUUUACCAGAUACUAGAGAGUUAUUAAAGAUACACCAGCACCAAACUGAGAUUUUUUUUCCAGUGACACAGACUAAAGGAUUGAAGGCAAAGUACUGUAGGUACAGCACUGUAAAUGGGCUAGAAGCCACUGAAUUGUACACUUUAAAAUGGUUAAAAUGUUAAAUGGUUAAAAAGUUAAUGGUUAAAAUGUUCAAUUCCAUGUUGCGUGAAUUUUACCUCAGUGAGAAAAGCAGAAGUGAAAAAGGAUAAUUUUGAUUCAGUGAUUUUUUUUAUCAUAUUAUAGUACUGCUUAAAACCUUUUGUCUCUCACUUUUGCAAAGCACUGCACCAUUAAAGACAGAAGGCCUGUAGGACUGAGCCCCACCUGGUGCAGUCUCAGAGCAGCCUUGCUGUCGGAACACAGUGCCAGAGUCGAAAGCAGUUUUAAACUAAGCCAAUGCCUUCCCUGGAAUUUCUUGAACGACGUAAAGUCGGGUAUAUAGAGCAAUGCUCUUCUAAAGCCCCUAUUUGUUUCCUUUUCUGAAACCUGCAAUAUGUUUGAACUUGAACAAUUUACUUUUCAGAACUUAAAUGUCUGUAUGUCUAAAAUAGAGAUGAUAGUACCUAACUCAUGGUGGUGGUGUGAGGAUGACGUGAAGAGUCGUGGAGCAGCCUGGCAGAGUUCCCGUGUGGAAUCAGUGCUAGUUCCCCUCCCCCCACCCCCUUCAUCAGGUAAAGAAUAUUAUGGAGUCACAUUCACACGGACGCUUUACGAAUGAUUUGAUGCUGAUGUGACGAUUUGCUAGAAAUACUUAUAAUCUGCAAAUGGAGUAACUUAGAGAUUCCGGAAAACAGUCACUAUUAAGUAUUUAGCCAAGUCCAAAAAAACUAAAAGAACAAAAAAAACCUCAGUUAGACUACUCUAAGCUUCAUCUUCAGAAUCAUUGACUGCUGAGAUGCAACUUAACGUUUGCUUUAAGAAGUGUUAAAUCUCUAUUUGGAUCCCCAUUGGGUUUCUAUUGAAUUCUCUUUUACUACAGUUUUACAUGCUGGGACUUUGCCAAUCUGGUUUAAUUAAUUAAUCUUCAAGUAAAACCAAAGCAUCUUUAGAACAUUUAUGGGAUUUCCUUAUGAAACAUCAUCACUUCUGGUUCACUCGCAUUUUGCUGUUUUGGUCGUCAUUAUUUGUGUUGUUGUGUUUGGCAGCAAUCCUGGAAAUACAAUUUACUUUAUGCUAAAACCAUGUCUAAGGAAAAUCGGUGACUCCGCUGUGGAGUGAAAUAUGGCAGACACUCCCUUGCAUUGUGUUCUCAGUUUUGGAUAUUCAUCAAACUAGAAAUGAUGUAUUCUUUCAAGCUUCAGAACUUGAGUGUGGGAGGUAGGGAACUUUCAGAUGCCACAAACAUACUUUAAAAAGCAUUUCAGAACCAGUCCCUUCUAGGGAGAGAAAUACAAUUAGAUUCUCCAAUCUUUUUAACCAAAAAGAAAGGUUUUAAAAAAAGAGCCCUGGGAUGGGAAAAAAGGAACACUGUGAAUCUAGGCUCUCGUGGCAUCUGAAAAGAUGAGCAAGGUAUCAGUUUGUAUGCCUGAGGCGUAGUUUGGCUCAAGGAGUAACUAAAGCCAUAUGAAGUGUUUUAUGAUGGGUUUGACAGUUCAUUAAACGUUCACCUACAAGGAGGAUCUCUUAACACUGUAAUUCCUGAGGUAGGCAUUUUCUUCCUCAAAGUCCAGAAUAAAAAUUCUCUAGAAUGAGAAUCGGAUGUUAGGCAAAUUAAAGAGAGUUGGAGCUGCUUCUUCUAGGCUUUUCCACUGUGUUUUCAGCAGAUGAAAUUAUUUGGGGAGCCCCCUGUGUAAAUCUUUCAUUCCUAUUCUUUGAGCAUAGCAAUUCACAUAUUUUCUGGGAAAAGAACUAUCUAAACACUUUCACCUUAAAGAUGACGAUGGGGAUAUACACAUAUCUAGGAUAGAUGUUAAAUGUCUCCCUUGACUCCUGUCAUUUAUCAAUAUCCCAGGUUUGGUCUGCACGCAGAGACAGUCCAACUAUUUGUGGGUUUGUUACGAGUAACGUAAACUGGCUACACGUUUGGGAAAUUUGGGCUCAUCCAAGAGGCUAUGGAUUACGGUUCUCAGGAAUAAUACCAACGACAGGAAACCAAGAGGAGUUUUUUGAAUGCAAUUAAUUAAUUAAUUCUAAAGCGACUUCUCAUUGGGUUGCCUGACCUCCGGUGGCACUGGAUAGCUCUGAGUUGUAAUCCCCUUUGAGUGUUGUGAGAUCAUUGUGUUAUGUAGACAGGUAAUCUUCUCGCCAGGUUUUGGGGUCACCUUGUUGGUAGGUCUGAAACAGUAGCUCAGUGUGAGCGUUGGGGCCUGGUCUUUCCUCACAGGGUGUGCGAUCACAUUCUGCUAGACAACACUGCUCACUUUCUUUAAAUGCAGAAAGCCUGUGUGGGAUUAAGUAGACGUGAGGCUCUUGGUGGAGUGCUAGAGCGGACAGAGCACUCCCCCGACGGCGACGGUCGAAGGUGAAGGUCGGAGGACGGGUGCGGGCUUCCUCCUCCUUUGUCCGGGCAGCACAGAUGACUCCCCAUCACGAGACUGUCCCUCUGGAGAGAAGACAGGCACCGCGUCCAAACCAGGGGCCAGGUCCUGAUCCCGACUCCUCCAGCCAGAGGCACAGUGUUGAGGUCCCGGCAUCUCUGUAACCACUUCACACCCCUCUUCCCUCCAUUUGAUCCCGACAAGUUUGAGUCAGUUCUUGCCUCGCUUAAGCAAACGCUCCUGGGAAGACGCAGACCUUGUCUUUGGUGCAUCCUGUCUGCCUUCCUUUCCGUCCUUUUGUGGCUUUUGGUUACUUUUCAUCCUCAGGCAUUUUUUUGUUCUUAGUUCCUUUCAUCUCCUCCCCUCCAAGAACAGACUCUUUGGCAAGGGCUCUGAUAAGCACAUUUGCACUGAGGUGUAAAUGGCUGAUAGAAGAUGUGUUUCUUCUCCCAGGAGUAUCUGCAUUGGAGCAAGGAUAUAAAUUUCUAAGGGUGGAAUUUCAGAUCAACAAGCCAAGUGGGAGAGGGGCUCGUGGGUGAGCAGUCUUCCUGAGGCUCCCACAGGUCUGCUCCUGAGGACAGCUCUGCCCCAAGGUGGCCAGCAGCUGGCAACGGGAGGCCCAGGCUGCUGGCUGUGGGAGGGGCUGGUCCCAUGGCCGAGACUCUGGCCUUGCUCCAUGACCAGACUUUGAAAUCGUGAGGCCCCGUCUGAAAAUCUUGAGCAAGAAUCUCGCUUAUCCCAGAGGAAUGUUUGGAAACACUAUGAAUAUUACAUUUGUGGUAAAUGUUUCAUUAUCUUCCUGUUUUCUUCAGCUGAUGUGAUAGACACCUCGUAGUUUUAAGGAUUCUUGAACUUGCCCUUUUGUGAAACAUCCAAAGUUCCCACAUGUAGGUUAGCUCCUGCUGACAGAAACCAUUUAGUCUCCUCAUUCCCCAGCUUGUCUAAAUCAGAAGUGUUUUCGAUAUUCAAAUGCUGGCCUCUGGGUAAAUGAAAAAUUGUCAAGUCGCAGUGAAACUCCUCCAGGCUUGGAGCACACAUUCAUGAGCACAUCCGUGCAGAAUGGGAUCGCUGGGGCUGGUGUCAAGACAGCGAACACCAGCGCCUGUGCUAAAGCCUGCCCUCCCUUGCAGUUCUCUUAAUGGACCAGCCAGUCCUCUGCCUGCCCAACACGUGACAGCUCUCAAAACAGCCCCCACCCCAUUUUCAAAAAUCAUUAAGCUGCAUGUAAGUAAAAGCAAAGAGUGUUGUUUAACAUUUUUUUCCUAAAAAACCAUUCACAUCUUAGAGAGACUAGUUUUGGUUUCUAUUUCCUCCUAGUGAGUUGAAAGUUCACUAUGCAUUUCCCUCCUCUGAUGUUUGUGUGCUGAAUAACAAGUCAGCCCUGGGGUGUGUGAGUUGUAUGUUUGCCUGUUUUCUCUACAGUCUGAGCUCCUUAAGGGCAACAGCUGAAUCUUACAUAUUUUUUCUUCUCUCCAGGGCCUUAUAGAUAGUAAGCUUUCAUAAAAAAUUGUGAGGUGAAAACUGAAUAAAGAUACUUCUUCCUAACCCUACUUUUAUAAGUUAAAAUUCUUCAUUUUCUGGCUGUUUUGUCUACAGCACUCUAAACAUCCUAUAUAGCCUUAAUAAUACUGUUUAUACUACAACCAGGGAGAACCUUGAAACUUAGGAGCUUAGGCUCAGUGAAAGAAGCCAGUCACAAAGGACCACAUAGUGUAUGGUUCCAUUUAUAUGAAAUGUCCAGAAAAUAGAGUCUAUUCUGUCUCUAUAGAGACAGAAAAUAGAUUAAUUGUUGCCUAGGGCUGAGGAAGACAGGGGGAAAUGGUGUUGACUGCUAAAGGGUAUGAAGUUUCUUUUUGGGGUGAUGAAAAAUGUUCUAAAAUUGUAUUAUGGUGAUGGUUGCAUAACUCUGUAAAUAUACACUGAACAGUACUCUUUGAAUGUUAUAGUAUGUAAACUACAUACCAAUAAACCUGUUAAAAAUGAAUAAACUAUGGUCUUGGGUGAAACAGAGAGAAAACGAGA